AAAGUGAAGGACUGAAGGUGGCUGCAUCAUUGCAAACACUGUCUGGUAAUUGAGCCCCUGAGAUGGUUCCAUAAGGUGGAAGUCUCCUCCUGUGACUCAAUGCAUGCAAGUUUUCCUCAGUGUGUAGUCUCAGAUUCUCUGACCUGGCUUUCGGCACUUCUGAGAUGAGAUACUGAAAGGAUGUGAUAUUUUACGGUGCAUGCUGGAACCAUUGGCAGAAAUGUAAUUGACUCUUCCCAUGUGGCUGCCAUCACAAGCUCCUUUACAGAUGAAAGACAAGAAACAAAUCUUUCCAUCCACAAAACUGGAGACAGGACUAAUUUGCUGAUGUUGUACAAAGAAUUCUCUCUCUGGAUAUCUGGCUGAUGGGAUCAGAAGAACUCAAAGAUGGUAUUGGAUCAAAGGUCCAUUUAGAUCACUUCAUAGUACUCAUAUGCCCUCAACAUGAGGCAGAAGUCUGUGGGUUGCUGCUAUCUACCAGUUCUGUCCUGCCUGUGUGA
rnacentral:lncRNA from 1 species